rnacentral:tRNA from 1 species
UCUCGAUUGGUCUAGUGGUCAGGAUACCUGCUUGUCAUGUACAAUUCGCAGGUGGCCGGGGUUCGAUUCCCCGAUCGAGAG